rnacentral:piRNA from 1 species
GUGGAGGACGAAGAGCGGGAGGAGGG